UUAAAAUCAGUGAUUGAGAAAUAGUAUAUUUUCUGAAAGUAUCAAAGAGAGUUAGCGCUUGGUGAAAGCUAAUAUAUAAGUAGGAUUAUAGAAUGGGCUCAUGAGAGGAAGCCGAAAAUUGUAGUAGGUAACCCGUAUACCUUACGUUAAAAAGGUUAGAGUAUUUUGUUGUACUUGAAUAAAGUGGAUUAGUUUUUACUAUUCAAUUGAGGUGGUACCACGGUUUAUAAUCGCCCUCUAU
rnacentral:ncRNA from 1 species